rnacentral:lncRNA from 1 species
AACUUACUUGUGUUGGGGAUAUGGAUGUAGAUACAGAUAAUUUCUAUCUUGGGCAGGACCGGAGGAGGUUAUAGUUGAUCUGAAUCCAAAAUUAUUGAUAUUUUAGGUGUUUCUAGGACCUAUGUCUUGCUAGUUUGUAAUAUCAAGCUUCUAAGCAAAAGCCACGUACUAGUUCAUAGUUUUCAGGGUGAAUGACAAGCUACCUGCAGAUUCAUAAUAACUAAAAUCCAUAAAUGUAUAGCUUACGAUGUUCUGGUNCUGGGAUGAUGUGAAUUUGUUUAUUUUAGUUGGUGUGAGAGUGUGGCCCUGUGGGAUGGAGGGUAGGGAGGUUGAUUAAAGAUUCUCUCAGAAUCGAACCGUUCCUGCAAUUUUUUCCAGUCUACAUUUUUCUUGUGCGAUAGCAAUUUUGUUAUGUCUUAACUUUAGUGAGAAAACUUAAUUUGGAUCGACUUAGUGUUAGGAUAAGAAGCUGCUAAUUGCCAGCCUGUGGAGUUGGCUACAUAAAGGGUUAUUUGUUUUGUACUUUUGAGCAUAUUAUGAUCAUCUCGAAAUAGUGGUAAAAAUGCUAUUACAUCAGAAUCUGUUAGUGAGAUGCAAUCAGUAAUAAUUUUGUCCAGUUUCUGCAACACCUACAGGCUACAAUAGAGGUUCUUAUGAGGUUACUAUAUUAGUAGGGAAAAUUUACUCUCAUCUAUCCUUCUCUUGCACUAGAUAUAAUUGGUGUUGAAAUAAAAGGAAGAUUAUGUGGCUAGCUGUAUAAUUUCUAGCAAGUCUUCCCACAACCUGAUGCUUAAGCCGGAUUCCUUGCUCUGGGUCCGAACCGAUAUUCCUCAUAAUUCAACUGUCCUAAAUUGUCAGUGUAGGAGUCUUCUAUUGCUUUUUGACCUUGCUAAAGCGAUAUUUGUGAUAGAUUUACUGGCUUUAGGCUUCUUGGCAAUUGUCCUGGGAGCAGGCUGCUACAGUGGGACUCCUAAUCACUCGCACAAGCAACCUCUAUAAAGCCUAUAAUAGAGGCUUAAAGACACUGCAGGAUAUCUGUGUCGUGCAUGUUAGUCUAAAUAGAGAAGAACUUACUUGUGUUGGGGAUAUGGAUGUAGAUACAGAUAAUUUCUAUCUUGGGCAGGACCGGAGGAGGUUAUAGUUGAUCUGAAUCCAAAAUUAUUGAUAUUUUAGGUGUUUCUAGGACCUAUGUCUUGCUAGUUUGUAAUAUCAAGCUUCUAAGCAAAAGCCACGUACUAGUUCAUAGUUUUCAGGGUGAAUGACAAGCUACCUGCAGAUUCAUAAUAACUAAAAUCCAUAAAUGUAUAGCUUACGAUGUUCUGGUUUGCAUAGUGCAGUGCAGGGAUACCUAAAGUUGAAGUCACUUUGUUCUUAUUAAAGCAUCUGAUCGUUUUGUUCUUUCUUGUUUGAUUCCUUAUAAACUCCAAUGAUGUCACCAG